rnacentral:lncRNA from 1 species
UCAUUCCCUUGGCAGCUCCCAUUGCUAUCAACAGGGGUCCUGAUCAGAGGAUGAUAGUAGACUUGUGAUCUUCUGUGAAUUUAUGAACAGAGGAGGAAUCAUCAUAUGCUCUAAGGGCUGAAGUAUUUUGUCUGAAGGAAUUUUCCUUCUUUUGGAAGCCUCUGCUGUUUGGCUCAGCAUUUUCUCCUUUUUAAGCUCAAGCAAUGCAGUACAGAGCCAGGCUAGACACAAGAAAGGACCUUGGAGGGCUUCAAGUGGGAGACUGCAAUCAUAAAUCCUGGAGCUCCCAUUUGUGAGACCUGACCUCAAGUCCUCAGGAAUUGGCUUUAAUGGAAGAGCUGGACUAUAGGAUGAGUAAGAGGGUGGAGGAAGAGCCUAGAUGAAAGUACAAAUGG